rnacentral:rRNA from 1 species
CAUUAUGCUCAGCCGUAAACUUUGAUAGAUCAUUACAUCCGCUAUCCGCCCGGGUACUACGAGCAUCAGCUUAAAACCCAAAGGACUUGGCGGUGCUUAACAUCCACCUAGAGGAGCCUGUCCUAGAACCGAUAAUCCCCGUUAAACCUCACCCUCCCUUGCUUCUUCCCGCCUAUAUACCGCCGUCGUCAGUUUGCCCUUUGAAGGCCCCGUAGCAAGCACAAUUGGUACCACCCAGAACGUCAGGUCGAGGUGUAGCUUAUGAGAGGGGAUGAGAUGGGCUACAUUUCCUGAAUCAGGAUAUACGGAUAGUGAUUCUGAAACGAACACUAGAAGGAGGAUUUAGUAGUAAGUAGAAAGCAGAGAGUUCUACUGAACCCGGCUCUUAAGCGUGCACACACCGCCCGUCACUCUCCCCGAGCAUAAUUUAGAACCCAUAACUAAUACCUCAUUCAUUGCGUCAGGGGAGGCAAGUCGUAA